rnacentral:lncRNA from 1 species
ACCUAGAGUGGUUAAAACUUUUAUAGAGGCAACUUUUUUGGGGGGGAGGAAAGCACACCAGUUAAAGGAUACAUGUUUGCUCAGUCAUGGAACAGAUUUGUUAAAUGACUAGUGGUGGAACUUGGGGAGAAGUGAAUUGUACUUGUGAUGUAGGGUAAAAGGAAAUAAAAUUGAAAUGGUAAAACUAAAAAAGAUCACUUGGAAGGAUCUGGCCUGACUCAAUAUUUUUUCCCUUCAUUUAAAAGCCUUACUUAAAAAUUUGAAUUUCGGAGUUCCCAUUGUGGCCCAGUGGUUAACGAAUCCGACUAGGAACCACGAGGUUGUGGGUUCAAUCCCUGGCCUCGCUCAGUGGGUUAAAGAUCCGUCACUGCCAUGAGCUGUGGUGUAGGUUGCAGAUAUGGCUUGGAUCCCGCGUUGCUGUGGCUGUGGUGUAGGCUGGUGCCUACAGCUCCGAUAUGACCCCUAGCCUGGGAACCUCCAUAUGCAGCGGGCGCAGUCCUAGAAAAGACAAAAAAAUAAAAUAACAUAAAAAUUUGAACUUUGGGACAAUUUAAAAUUUGUGAGCAAGAUUGACAUAAUGCAUACAAAAUAGUUUCUUGUCACUCAGAAAUGUUAUAAUGCUAAUCACCAAAUCUGUCAGAAAAGGAAAUAAAAGAAACUAUAAGUUGUUUUUGGAUCCAUUUAUUGCCAUGUACAAAGUAGUUUUACCAUAUAGAAUUGUUUUUGCCUCAUCAACAUGAUUGAAUUAGUGGGCUGGGAAAAAAAAAUUGUGUUCCUCUUUUACUAUGUGCCAGCUAAAAAAGUGAACAAGAAAGUUUAACUCUCUCUCUGAAAGAGAGAGAGCUGAAAAGCAGUUAUAAACUAACAUGUAAAUUGAAGUUUUCUGUUAAUUGAAGUUCUGUGUUUAACCGAUAGAUUUGGUCAGUUAGUGGAACAUUAAUCACUAGAGGAAUCUAGAUUAAAAAAAAAAAUUGUGUGUAUAUACAACUGCUUUUCAGCUCUGUAUGGUUUACUUUCAUCUAUUUUAAGAAAGGUGGUAGAUGAAAUACCAUUUCAAUGUUUUAGUUUACCAAGGAAUUCAUCAUCCAGGGUCCCACAGAAGCCUCAUAGAACAUAACCUGAGUUCAGGAGGCAUCUCUUGUAAAUGUCUUUAAUAAGCUCAAUCUCCUACUUUCCAUGAGAUGAAAGGUCUUUUCCAAACUCCAACACUACUAACUCUGCUGGUGGCUUAAUUUUUACUUUAUUUUAUUUUUAUUUGUCUUUUUUUCUUUUAGGGCCACACCAGCAGCACAUGGAGAUUCCCAGGCUAGGGGUCCAAUCGGACCUACUGCUCCCAGCCUAUGCCAGAGCUACAGCAACACCAGAUCCGAGCCCUGUCUGUGAUCUACACCACAGUUCAUGGCAACACCGGAUCCUUAACCCACUGAGCAAGUCCAGGGAUCGAACCCGUGACCUCAUGGUUUCCAGUUGGCUUCGUUUCUGCUGCACCACAUUUUUACUUUAUUUUAAAAUGAGAACUUUCACCAGAUGUCAGUUUCCUUAACUACCACCCUCUAUCCUUCUGUCCUCUGGUCUCAUCUGACCCUGAGGUUUCAGAGAAAUCACUCACUAUGGAUGAUUCCUUCUUGCCCUCUGUCAUUCAUCCAUUUGUCUUGAGUACCUAUUUAUUCUUACUAUUCACACCGAUUCUUCCACCAUUAAAAAUUAAAGUUUUUUCCACCCCACUGCCUCAUUAAGCUCACAUUUACCUGAAGCAUUGCCCUAACUCAUGCCACUCAUUUCUUGAAGUCAAACUAGGAAGGGGUUAAAGAUUCUAAGCACGACAGUAGCAUGGACCCAAGCACUAAAAUCUUGGCAUAGUUACAUAAACUGGAUAGUGGGAUGGUAUCAUGUUAUUUUUCACAUCUUCAAUUAUGAAACGCAAAAUGAAUCUAUAUGAACAGCUUUCAGGAUUUUCACUCCAUUCUCUCUUCUAUUUAUAAAUAAUAUUGUUUAAUGAAAACCAACACCCUCCACAAACACAGAAAUAAAUGUAUGUAAUUAAAGAAAUGACAGAGAAACUGAUUUUGCAGGGAAACAGAAAGAUAGUACCUUUAUCCCCAGUCCCCAAACAUAAUGUCUUUAAGCACCUGCUCGCUCCGGUUUGAGAAAAAUAUAGAGAAUAAAAAUAAUAAUAUCAUGCUAAAAAAGUCAUAUAAAUAAAUUAUAUAAAUGUUAUCACAUAACUAUAUAUCUAUUACAGAAGGCAUCAUAGAUAAACUACUCUUACAGCUGUAAUAUUACAAAGUAAACAUUGCAUUAUUGAAAUGCUAGAUAUAGUGCUGUUCUAGAAACAUACUAAAAUAUAACUGCAUUUUAAUACUGCAGCAUUUAUUAAGAAUUAUAGAAACAUAGAAGACAUACUGCUUUAAUAUACCAUUUAAAACUUUAAUAGUAUUUCAUCUUAAAUGAUGGAAUCAUUACUUAUGAUCAUAAUAAUCAGAAUUAUCUCCAAGAAUGUCUUUUAGAUAAGUUGUAAUGAUACUUUUUUAAAAAUUUACUGAAUAUAGAAUAACUUUGUUUUCAGGCUUUCAAUAAUCUAAUAGUGAUAUAAUUUUUCAAGUUGUUUACUCAUAAUAAAUGCAAGUACAUACGCAAAAAAAUGCAAUCAUAAAAUCACAUGAUAGAAGAAAAUUAGGAAUAUUACAAAUGUUUGAAAUUGCAAUUCUAAUCUAUUACAUCACAAAAUCAUGGUAACUCUAAAACACACAACACAGUUUUAUGGUGCAGGAGAUAAAAGUAAGACAUAGUAGGAAUUUUUUUUCCUAUAUUGCAUAGUUUUUGAUAAUUGAAAUUUUUGAGAUAGCUUUAUCUCUGAGAUUAGUUUUCCUUGUUGAUACAUCGCAUCAGAACAACGGGAUUUGCCUGCCAUCAAACUGAAAUAUUUAAUUUGUUUUUAGUUCAUUUAAUGAGUUAUUUAUGCUAAAAUAUUUUCACAAUUUUAUUGACGUAUAAAUUAUACACAAUAAAGUGAAUUCCUUUAACUGACAAUGCAAUGAAUUUUAACUGAUGUACCCAUGAAAUCAAUGCCUCAGUCAAGUUAAAGAAUAUUUUAUUCAAAGCCUAAAGUUUUUUUUUUCCUUUUUCCUUGCAAUCCCUCUGGGCCACACCAAUCCCUAAUCAGCUUUCCAUCACUACAGGUUAAUUGGCAUUUUUAGAAUUGUCUAUAAAGGAAAUUAUAUAGUAAGUACCCUUUAUGUCUGGUUUAAUUAUUUUGAGAUGGGCUGUUUUAUGAUUUAAUAUUUUAUUUUAUAUUUUAUCAAAAAUAUUCCAUUGUAUGAAUCUAAAAAAAAUUUUGUACCCAUUCUUCUAUUGAUAGACAUUGGCUUAUUACCAAAUUUUCACUAUUAUGAACAAAGGUACCAUGGAUAUUCUUGUAGAGGUUUCUGUGCAGACACAGACUUUUAUUCUUGUUUGGUAAAUACCUAUCAUUGAAACCACUAUUUCAAAGGGUAGGUGUAUGGCAAUGUAUGAUUAACCAUGUAAGAUAAUGUCAAACUCUUUUCCAAGUGCUAGUACCCUUUUAUUCAAUUACCAACAAUCUCUACAAAUAUGCAAUGUUGUCAAUAGUUCUAAUUUUAGACUUAGUGGUUUAAGAUAAUAUAUAGCUAUGAUUUAAUUUACAUUUCCCCUACAACUAUUUUUCCUGGGCUUAUUGAGCCAUUUGUGAAAAGUCCAAUCCAAAGCCUAUAUAUAUCACGCAUUUUCUAUUAGGUUACAUGUUAAUGUGGGUCCUCUGAGGAGCAGAUGUCAAGUUGGGAUUAGACUUGCAAGAGAUAUAUUGAAGAAACACACCUGUGGAAAGAUAAAGGAGAGAGACACACAGAAGGUAGGAAUAUCUGGAGACUACAAUGCUCGUCUGAUACUUGCUAAGGAAAGAGGAAGCAAGGAGAGGUAAUUGGGUAGAAGGAGUCUCAGACAGCAACACAGUUUUAAAAAGGCUUAAGGGUGCAUAUAACUUUUUGAAUGAAAGUUUUGUCCAGAUACAUGCCCAGGAGUGGGAUUGCUGGACCAUGUUCAUUGCAGAACUAUUCACAAUAGCCAAGACAUGGAAACAAACUAAACUGUCCAUCAGCAGAUGAACUGAUUAGGAAGAUGUAGUACAUAUACACAGUGGAAUACUAUUCAGCCAAAAAACAGAAGGAAACAAUGCCAUUUGCAGCAACAUGGAUGCAACUAGAGAUUCUCAUGCUAAAUGAAGUAAGUGUGAAAGAGAAAGACAACAUAUCAUAUCAUUUAUAUGUGGAAUCUAAAAUAUGGCACAAGUGAACCUAUCUACAGAACAGAAACAAACUCAUGGACAUAGAGAACAGACUUGUGUUUGCCAAGGGGGAGGGGGAGAGAGAGGGAGUGGGAUGGAUGAGGAGUCUGGGGUUAGUAGAUGCAAAGUUUUGCAUUUGGAGUGGAUAAGCAAUGAAGCCCUAUUUCCAAUCACUUGUGACAGAACAUAAUAGAAAAUAUUAUGAGAAAAAGAAUGUAGAGCAGAAAUUGACACUUGGGUCACUUUGCUGUAGAGCAGAAAUUGACAGAACAUUGCAAAUCAACUAUAAAAAUGUUUAAAUAAUAAUAAAGCUUAAGAGAGUUGACUGGGAGACUUCAAAGCAAAGCAACCCAUUAAGGAGAACCCCACCCAACGUAUUAAAAGGCCCACAUUAGUACCACUGCAGUGCUUCAUCACUGCUGGCACAGCCCAUGGCAAGCAAUGCCUCAGUUGCAAAUGUGGGGAUGGUACCAGAAGGACAGCAGUUGGAGCCAGCAGUCAAUUAUGCCCCCAUGCAGAGGAACUCACAGCCCCUACAGUGCAUCACACACAUCUACUUCUUUAUGCUGGCUCAAGUAGUCCCCUAUGUGGUUCCAAAGGGCCUGUCUCCGAGGGGAAAUUUAGAAGAGUGAGGUUACUUGAAUGAAUUGCUGCCCUGUUUAAAAAUUUAUUCUCGGGAUCAUAACUGCUACCCUUCUUAUUCUUCUUCUGUUACCCAUUUCAUUUAUUUACUUUUAUUUCUAUGGCCACACCUGUGGCAUAUGGAAGUUCCCAGGACAAACGUCUAACCAGAUCUGUAGCUACAGCUUACACCACAGCCACAGCAACACUGGAUCCUUAACCCACUGAGCAAGAUCAUGGUUGGAACUCUCAUCCUCACAGAAACAACAUCAAGUCCUUAACCCACUGAGUCACAAUGGGAACUCCUGCUACCCAUUUUAAAGUCAUCUCACCCUUGGCUCCCACCUUGGCAGGUCUUGAUGGAUAAGUAACUGAGUAUUGCAAAAAGUCAAUUUUAUUUCUGGCUCAAAUUUUCCUCAUUUGUAAAAAUGCAGGGGUUGAGCUAGUUGUUUUUCACCAUGUUUUUAAAAGCCCCAUAUUUAAUCACUGUUCAUUAAACUGAAUUUAUCAAAACAAUUUGACCACUUCUAUAAAUUGAAAUAUAAGCCAAUGUGACCCUCUAAAGUAUGUGAUAAUUUUCAUAUUUAAAUAACCACAGAAAAAGUCAAAGAAACUACUAGUCUUAUCACAUAAAUGUGUAAUUUCCAUUAGUGAUUUGGAAAUAUUGAAAACAGGUCAUAGAGUUCCUUUCAUUACUAAUUUUGCAAACUAGUAUAAAUCUGUCCUCUCAUGGAACACAUACCCAACUAAUCGCUAAAGAACGCCUUCAAAAUUUCUGAUUAUCUGAUUUUAUGUUUCUUGAUUACUCUUCAAAUGUAGAUGAGAACAGAAUGAACUAUCUUAUACAAUAUAUCAUCUGUAUAUAAAAAUAUUUACAAAGGUCCUUUAAAUAACAUAUGCAAUGAACAAUUCAAAUGUAUUUAAUAUAAAAUCCCAACUGUAUAGUUCUUGGGAAGAUACCCUCUAAAGAACUGAUCAGAAUCACUUUUACUGUCUCUUUGCUAUUACAUACAGGCUUUUAAGCAUUAUUUUUGUCCACUGUAAAAAAUCAUACGGAAAAAGGGAUUUUGAAAAGAUUUUGUUAUCUUUUCUGCAUUUGAUAAGCAUAAGUUCCCCAUAUUCUGUAAUACCUUUGCAUUUGUGUCCUUAUUUUCAUAAAUAAGAAAAAUGACACGCUCGUCAUGAUAAAUGUGGAAAACUAAAAACGUGAGGGCAAAUAAAGCAGAGGAUUUUUCUAUGAGCCACUGACCAUUUAAUGAGUGUGUGAGUGACUUUCUUUUAAAAAAAAUUUAAACAAAGUCAGGAGUUCCCAUUGUGGCUUGAUGGUAACGAACCUAACUAGUAUCUAUUAGGUAUGGGUUCAAUCUCUAGCCUCGCUCAGUGGGUUAAGGAUCCAAUGUUGCUGUGAACUGUGGUAUAGAUCACAGAUGCAGCUUGGAUCUGGUAUUGCUGUGGCUGUGGUAUAGGCCAGCAGCUGUAGCUCCUAUUUGAC